ACGCUCGACACCUACGAGAGGCAGCAGUGGGGAAUAUUGCACAAUGGGGGAAACCCUGAUGCAGCGACGCCGCGUGGAGGAAGAAGGUCUUCGGAUUGUAAACUCCUGUUGUUGGGGAAAAAGAGGAUGGUACCCAACAAGGAAGUGACGGCUAACUACGUGCUAGCAGCCGCGGUAAUCUGAGCGGGCUGGCAAGGC
rnacentral:rRNA from 1 species